GAUGGAAGUCACUUAAAAGCCUCAGAACAUCAGUUUUCUCAUGACCUAUAAAGUCUUCGCUAACAAGCCAGGAUAUUGUGAGAUAUGAAAUAACCAUCCUCUCGACGUAUCACUUACUGGUGUUUUGACACAGACUUCGUCUCCACUCUCUUCAUUCGCGCCCCAGAAAGCACCACAUUAUUUGCACUUCGAAAAUCAGUACGGAGGAAACAA